rnacentral:lncRNA from 1 species
CACAAACUGAAAUGCGCGAUGUUUUCUUUACUUCGAGCAAAAUACGAAAUUUACCUAGCACAACUUCGAUCUAUUAUUGCACUGGCGUAACUAACAAUAUUAGGCGCAUUCGGUAUGGACGUACGAAAUACACUGAAGAAUUUACACGUGACGUCAUAUCAUACCUGCCAGUUCGUGUACUGAGUUUAUCUGAUGACGAACAGACGAUGUCGCAGUGAAAAUGGCGGAUCGCAAAGUGGUCUUAGGAACUAGUUCAUCAAUUUUUGUAAAUUCUAUAAAACUUUCUAUAGAAAAUGAAGACAGCAGCGACAAUGAAACAAUUUUAUUAGAAAUGCUACUUUCAUG